CCUGCCCACUGUUAACAUAAAGGGCUGCAGUAUUUUGACUGUGCAAAGGUAGCAUAGUAGAUUGCCUUUUAAGAGGGGGCUGGAAUGAAAGGUUUAACAAGGCUGGAGCUGUUCCCUUGGCUUGGUCAAAUUUAGAGUUACUGUAAAAAUUCAGUAGUGUCGCUAAGGGACGAUAAGACCCUAUAAAUUUUAGUGGGUUUGUGCUAGUUAAGAAACAGGUUAGCGCUGUUCUCACUUAGUUGGGGCAACCUUAAUGAGGAAAUCAUUAAUUUUUAAACAGUACCACUGGGGCUAAGAGCCGGGUUACCGCAAGGGAUAAAAAUACUUUAGGGAUAACAGCGUUAUUGUCUCGGAGAGUUCAAAUUUAUGAGACAGAUUACGACCUCGAUGUUGAAUUAAGAAAACUUUUAGGUGUAGCCGCUUAGAGGGUUAGCCUGUUCGGCUAUUUUACUCUUACGUGAUCUGAGUU
rnacentral:rRNA from 1 species